CCUACGGGAGGCUGCAGUGGGGAAUAUUGGGCAAUGGGCGCAAGCCUGACCCAGCAACGCCGCGUGAAGGAAGAAGGCUUUCGGGUUGUAAACUUCUUUUCUCAGGGACGAAGAAAGUGACGGUACCUGAGGAAUAAGCCACGGCUAACUACGUGCUCGCAGCCGCGGUAAUACGCAGGUGGCAAGCGUUAUCCGGAUUUACUGGUUGUAAAGGGCGUGAAGGCGGGGAGGAAGGUCAGAUGUGAAAACCACGGGCUCAACGUGUGACCUGCAUUUGAAACUGUUUUGCUGGAGUUCUGGGGAGGCGGACGGAAUGUCUAGUGUAGCGGUGAAAUGCGUAGAUAUUAGGAGGAACACCAGUGGCGAAGGCGGCCUGCUGGACAGCAACUGACGCUGAGGCGCGAAAGCGUGGGGAGCAAACAGGAUUAGAUACCCUUGUAGUC
rnacentral:rRNA from 1 species